UACAGAGGUCCCAAGCGUUGUUCGGAUUCACUGGGCGUAAAGGGUGCGUAGGCGGUCGGGUAAGUCUGACGUGAAAUCUUCAAGCUUAACUUGGAAACUGCGUCGGAUACUAUUCGGCUGGAGGAAUGGAGGGGAGACUGGAAUACUUGGUGUAGCAGUGAAAUGCGUAGAUAUCAAGUGGAACACCAGUGGCGAAGGCGAGUCUCUGGACAUUUCCUGACGCUGAGGCACGAAAGCCAGGGGAGCGAAACGGG
rnacentral:rRNA from 1 species